rnacentral:rRNA from 1 species
UACGUAGGGGGCAAGCGUUGUCCGGAAUUAUUGGGCGUAAAGAGCUCGUAGGCGGUGUGUCGCGUCGGCCGUGAAAACCUGGGGCUCAACUCUGGGCGUGCGGUCGAUACGGGCAUCACUUGAGUUCGGCAGGGGAGACUGGAAUUCCUGGUGUAGCGGUCAAAUGCGCAGAUAUCAGGAGGAACACCGGUGGCGAAGGCGGGUCUCUGGGCCGAUACUGACGCUGAGGAGCGAAAGCAUGGGUAGCGAACAGG